GAUGAACGCUGGCGGCGUGCCUAAUACAUGCAAGUCGAGCGAACGGACGAGAAGCUUGCUUCUCUGAUGUUAGCGGCGGACGGGUGAGUAACACGUGGAUAACCUACCUAUAAGACUGGGAUAACUUCGGGAAACCGGAGCUAAUACCGGAUAAUAUUUUGAACCGCAUGGUUCAAAAGUGAAAGACGGUCUUGCUGUCACUUAUAGAUGGAUCCGCGCUGCAUUAGCUAGUUGGUAAGGUAACGGCUUACCAAGGCAACGAUGCAUAGCCGACCUGAGAGGGUGAUCGGCCACACUGGAACUGAGACACGGUCCAGACUCCUACGGGAGGCAGCAGUAGGGAAUCUUCCGCAAUGGGCGAAAGCCUGACGGAGCAACGCCGCGUGAGUGAUGAAGGUCUUCGGAUCGUAAAACUCUGUUAUUAGGGAAGAACAUAUGUGUAAGUAACUGUGCACAUCUUGACGGUACCUAAUCAGAAAGCCACGGCUAACUACGUGCCAGCAGCCGCGGUAAUACGUAGGUGGCAAGCGUUACCCGGAAUUAUUGGGCGUAAAGCGCGCGUAGGCGGUUUUUUAGUCUGAUGUGAAAGCCCACGGCUCAACCGUGGAGGGUCAUUGGAAACUGGAAAACUUGAGUGCAGAAGAGGAAAGUGGAAUUCCAUGUGUAGCGGUGAAAUGCGCAGAGAUAUGGAGGAACACCAGUGGCGAAGGCGACUUUCUGGUCUGUAACUGACGCUGAUGUGCGAAAGCGUGGGGAUCAAACAGGAUUAGAUACCCUGGUAGUCCACGCCGUAAACGAUGAGUGCUAAGUGUUAGGGGGUUUCCGCCCCUUAGUGCUGCAGCUAACGCAUUAAGCACUCCGCCUGGGGAGUACGACCGCAAGGUUGAAGCUCAAAGGAAUUGACGGGGACCCGCACAAGCGGUGGAGCAUGUGGUUUAAUUCGAAGCAACGCGAAGAACCUUACCAAAUCUUGACAUCCUUUGACAACUCUAGAGAUAGAGCUUUCCCCUUCGGGGGACAAAGUGACAGGUGGUGCAUGGUUGUCGUCAGCUCGUGUCGUGAGAUGUUGGGUUAAGUCCCGCAACGAGCGCAACCCUUAAGCUUAGUUGCCAUCAUUAAGUUGGGCACUCUAAGUUGACUGCCGGUGACAAACCGGAGGAAGGUGGGGAUGACGUCAAGUCAUCAUGCCCCUUAUGAUUUGGGCUACACACGUGCUACAAUGGACAAUACAAAGGGCAGCGAAACCGCGAGGUCAAGCAAAUCCCAUAAAGUUGUUCUCAGUUCGGAUUGUAGUCUGCAACUCGACUACAUGAAGCUGGAAUCGCUAGUAAUCGUAGAUCAGCAUGCUACGGUGAAUACGUUCCCGGGUCU
rnacentral:rRNA from 1 species